AACGCUAGCUACAGGCUUAACACAUGCAAGUCGCGGGGUAACGAGAGGGAAGCUUGCUUUCCUUGUCGACGACCGGCGCACGGGUGAGUAACGCGUAUCCAACCUGCCCAUUACCACGGGAUACCCCGUCGAAAGGCGGCCUAAUACCGUAUGCAGUCGUCAGAUGACAUCAGAGGACGACGAAAGGAUUGGCGGUAAUGGAUGGGGAUGCGUCUGAUUAGGUAGUUGGAGGGGUAACGGCCCACCAAGCCAUCGAUCAGUAGGGGUUCUGAGAGGAAGGUCCCCCACAUUGGAACUGAGACACGGUCCAAACUCCUACGGGAGGCAGCAGUGAGGAAUAUUGGUCAAUGGGCGCAGGCCUGAACCAGCCAAGUAGCGUGAAAGAUGACUGCCCUAUGGGUUGUAAACUUCUUUUAUAAAGGAAUAAAGUCGGGUAUGCAUACCCGUUUGCACGUACUUUAUGAAUAAGGAUCGGCUAACUCCGUGCCAGCAGCCGCGGUAAUACGGAGGAUCCGAGCGUUAUCCGGAUUUAUUGGGUUUAAAGGGAGCGUAGGCCGGAGAUUAAGCGUGUUGUGAAAUGUAGUGGCUCAACCUCUGCACUGCAGCGCGAACUGGCAGACUUGAGUGUGCGCAACGUAGGCGGAAUUUGUGGUGUAGCGGUGAAAUGCUUAGAUAUCACGAAGAACUCCGAUUG
rnacentral:rRNA from 1 species